GAUGAACGCUGGCGGCGUGCCUAAUACAUGCAAGUCGAGCGAACAGAUGAGGAGCUUGCUCCUCUGACGUUAGCGGCGGACGGGUGAGUAACACGUGGAUAACCUACCUAUAAGACUGGGAUAACUUCGGGAAACCGGAGCUAAUACCGGAUAAUAUAUUUAACCGCAUGGUUCAAUAGUGAAAGACGGUUUUGCUGUCACGUAUAGAUGGAUCCGCGCCGCAUUAGCUAGUUGGUAAGGUAACGGCUUACCAAGGCAACGAUGCGUAGCCGACCUGAGAGGGUGAUCGGCCACACUGGAACUGAGACACGGUCCAGACUCCUACGGGAGGCAGCAGUAGGCAAUCUUCCGCAAUGGGCGAAAGCAUGACGGAGCAACGCCGCGUGAGUGAUGAAGGUCUUCGGAUCGUAAAACUCUGUUAUUAGGGAAGAACAAAUGUGUAAGUAAAUAUGCACGUAUUGACGGUACCUAAUCAGAAAGCCACGGCUAACUACGUG
rnacentral:rRNA from 1 species